UACGUAGGGUCCGAGCGUUGUCCGGAAUUACUGGGCGUAAAGAGCUCGUAGGUGGUUUGUCGCGUUGUUCGUGAAAACUCACAGCUCAACUGUGGGCGUGCGGGCGAUACGGGCAGACUGGAGUACUGCAGGGGAGACUGGAAUUCCUGGUGUAGCGGUGAAAUGCGCAGAUAUCAGGAGGAACACCGGUGGCGAAGGCGGGUCUCUGGGCCGAUACUGACGCUGAGGAGCGAAAGCAUGGGUAGCGAACAGG
rnacentral:rRNA from 1 species